GACGUAGGGCGCGAGCGUUGUCCGGAUUUAUUGGGCGUAAAGAGCUCGUAGGCGGCUCGGUAAGUCAGGUGUGAAAAACUCUAGGCUCAACCUAGAGACGCCACCUGAUACUGCUGUGGCUAGAGUCCGGUAGGGGGAGCAUGGAAUUCCUGGUGUAGCGGUGAAAAUGCGCAGAUAUCAGGAGGAACACCAGUGGCGAAGGCGGUGCUCUGGGCCGGAACUGACGCUGAGGGAGCGAAAAGCGUGGGGGAGCAAAACAGG
rnacentral:rRNA from 1 species